CGACCCCAGGUCAAAGGGAUUACCCACUGAGUUUAAGCAUAUCAAUAAGUCGGAGGAAAAGAAACUUACCAGAUUCCCCUAGUAACGGCGAGCUAACCGGAAUAGCCCACCUUGAGAAUCGGGCGCCCUCAGCGCUCGAAUUGUAGUCUGGAGAAGCGCCCUCAGCGGCGGACCGGGCCCAAGUCCCCCGGAAGGGGCGCCAGAGAGGGUGAGAGCCCUGUCGUGCCCGGACCCUGUCGCACCACGUAGGCGCUCGUCUACGAGUCGGGUUGUUUGGGAAUGCAGCCCAAACGGGCGUAAAUUCCGCCCAAGGCUAAAUACGGGCGAGAGACCGAUAGCCAACAAGUACCGCGAGGGAAAGAUGAAAAGGACUUUGAAAAGAGAGUCAAAGAGUGCUUGAAAUUGUCGGAGGGAAGCGGAUGGGGCCGGCGAUGCCCCCCGGCCGGAUGUGGAACGGCCAAAGCCGGUCCGCCGAUCGGCUCGGGGUGCGGACCGACGCGGAUUGCAGCGGCGGCCCAAGCCCAGGCUUUUGAUACGCCUGCGGAGAUGCCGUCGCAUCGAUUGUGGAUCGCAGCGCGCGCCGUCACGGCGUGCUUCGGCACCUGCGCGCCCGGGCGUCGGCCACGGGUUUCCAUCUCGGCCCGUCUUGAAACACUACCAAGGAGUCCGACAUGUGCGAGUCAACGCGCGAGUAAACCCGUAAGGCGAAGGAAGCCGACCGGCGGAUCCCCUCGGGUUGCACCGCCGACCGACCUUGAUCUUCCGAGAAGGGUUCGAGUGAGAGCAUGUCUGUCGGGACCAAAGAUGGUGAACUAUGCCCGAGCGGGGCGGCCAGAGGAAACUCGUGGAGGCCCGCAGCGACACCGACGUGCAAAUCGCUCGUCCGACUCUGGGUAUAGGGGCGAAAGACUAAUCGAACUGCCUAGUAGCUGGUUCCUCCGAAGUUUCAGGAUAGCUGGAGCUCGGACGAGUUCUACUCAGUAAAGCCAAUGAUUAGAGGUAUCGGGGCGAACGCCUCGACCUAUUCUCAAACUUUAAAUAGGUAGGACGGCACGGCCGCUUCGCUGAGCCGCCACGGAAUCGAGAGCUCCAAGUGGGCCAUUUUUGGUAAGCGAACCGGCGAUGCGGGAUGAACCUAAGCCGGGUUACGUGCCCAACCGCGCGCUAACCUAGAACCCACAAAGGGUGUUGGUCGACAAGACAGCAGGACGGGUGGUCAUGGAAGUCAAAUCCGCUAAGGAGUGUGUAACAACUCACCCGCCGAAUCAACUAGCCCCGAAAUGGAUGGCGCUUAAGCGCGCGACCUAUACCUCGGCCGUCGGGCAAGAGCCAGCCCCGAUGAGUAGGAGGGCGCGGCGGUCACUGCAAAACCCAGGGCGCGAGCCCGGCGGAGCGCCACGUGCGAUCUUGGUGGUAGUAGCAACAUUCAAAUGAGAACUUUGAAGGCCAAGAGGGAAAGGUUCCAUGUGAACGACUUGCACAUGGGUUAGUCGAUCCUAAGAGACGGGGAAGCCUGUCCGACAGCGCGUCAGCGCGCGAACUUCGGAAGGGAAUCGGGUUAAAAUUCCCUAACCGGACGGGCGGCCGACGGCAACGUUAGGAGUCCGGAGACGCCACGGGGCCUCGGAAGAGUUAUCUUUCCGCUUAAUGCCCGCCUACCCCGGAAACGACUCACGGAGGUAGGGUCCACGGCCGAAGAGCACCGCACGUCGCUACGGUGUCCGGCAGCCCCGGCCGCCCAUGAAAAUCCGGAGGACCGAGUGCCAUCCACGCCUUGGCCGUGACUCAUAACCGCAUCAGUCUCCAAGGUGAACAGCCUCCGGCCAAUGGAACAAUGUAGGCAAGGGAAGUCGCAAAUGGAUCCGUAAUCUCGGAAAAGGAUUGGCUCUGAGGGCUGGGCCCGGGGUCCCAGUCCCGAACCCGUCGGCCGUCGGCGGACUGCUCGAGCUGCUCCCGCGGCGAGAGCGGGUCGCCGCGUGUCGGCCGGGGACGGACUGGGAACGGCCCUUCUGGGCCUUCCCGGCGUCGAACAGUCGACUCAGAACUGCACGGACAAGGGAAUCCGACCGCUUAAUUAAAACAAAGCAUUGCGAUGGUUCCCCGCGGAUGCUCACGCAAUGUGAUUUCCCGCCCAGUGCUCCGAAUGUCAAAGGAAGAAAUUCAACCAAGCGCCGUAAACGGCCGGAGUAACUAUGACUCUCUUAAGGUAGCCAAAUGCCCCGCCAUCUAAUUAGUGACGCUGCAUGAAUGGAUUAACGAGAUUCCCACCGCCCCCGCUCUACUAUCCACAAACCACAGCCCAAGUGGAACGGGCUUGGCGAAUCACGGGAAAGAAGACCCCGCUGAGCUCUGACUCUAGUCCGACUUUGUGAAAUGACUUGAGAGGUGUAGGAUAAGUGGGAGCCUUAACCGCCACGGAAAUACCACUACUUUUAACGUUAUUUUACUUAUUCCGUGAUCGGAGGCGGGCUACGCCUCUUUUGGACCCAAGGUCGCUUCGCGGCCGAUCCGGCCAAGACAUUGUCAAAGUGGGAGUUUGGCUGGGCUGCACAUCCGUUAAAAGAUAACGCAGUGUCCUAAGAUGAGCUCAACGAGAACAAAUCUCGUGUGGAACAAAAGGGUAAAAGCUCGCUUGAUUCCGAUUUCCAAAGACGUAAUACUUAACCGUGAAAGCGUGGCCUAUCGAUCCUUUAGACCUUCUGAAUUUGAAGCUAGAGGUGUCGGAAAGUUACCACAGGGAUAACUGGCUUGUGGCAGCCUAAGCGCUCAUAGCGACGUUGCUUUUUGAUCCUUCGAUGUCGGCCUUCCUAUCACUGUGAAGCAGAAUUCACCAAGUGUUGGAUUGUUCACCCACCAAUAGGGAACGGAGCUCGGGUUUAGACCGUCGUGAGACAAAGUUAGUUUUACCCCACCGAUGAUUGUGUCGCAAUGGUAAUUCAACCUAGUACGAGAGGAACUGCUGAUUCGCAUAAUUGGUCAUCGCGCUUGGUUGAAAAGCCAGUGGCGCUAAGUUACCGUGCGCUCGGAUUAUGACCGAACGCCUCUAAGUCAGAAUCCGCCGGAAGCGACGCGUUGUCCGCCGCCGUUUGCCGACCAGCAGAGGGCCUCCGGCCCCAAAGGCACGUGUCGCUGGCUAAGCCCUCGCGGCGGACGAGCCGCGCGGGCCGCCUUUGAAUUACAAUUUCCACCGCCAUGGACUGAAUCCUUUGCAGACGACUUAAAUACGCGACGGGGUAUUGUAAGUGGCAGAGUGGCCUUGCUGCCACGAUCCACUGAGAUUCAGCCCUUCGUCGCUCCGAUUCGU